rnacentral:rRNA from 1 species
CCGGGAAAUCCACCCGCCCAACGGGUGGGCGUCCGGUAGAAACUGGCCGGCUUGGAACCGGAAGGCUCAGAGAGUACGUCCGGGGUAGGAGCGAAAUCCCGUAAUCCCGGACGGACUACCGAUGGCGAAAGCACUCUGAGAAGACGGCUUCGACAGUGAGGGACGAAAGCUCGGGUCUCAAACCGGAUUAGAUACCCGGG